rnacentral:snRNA from 1 species
AUACUUACCUGGCAGGAGAGAUACCAAGAUCACGAAGGUGGUUUUCCCAGGACGAGGGUUGUCCAUUGCCCUCCAGAUGUACUGACCCCUGCGAUUUCCCCAAAUGUGGGAAACUCAACUGCAUAAUUUGUGGUAGUAGGGGACUGCGUUUGUGCUCUCCCCUG